rnacentral:siRNA from 1 species
GGGAAGCAUCUGAGGAAGAUGUA